rnacentral:rRNA from 1 species
AUUGAACGCUGGCGGCAGGCCUAACACAUGCAAGUCGAACGGUAACAGGAAACAGCUUGCUGUUUCGCUGACGAGUGGCGGACGGGUGAGAAAUGUCUGGGAAACUGCCUGAUGGAGGGGGAUAACUACUGGAAACGGUAGCUAAUACCGCAUAACGUCGCAAGACCAAAGAGGGGGACCCUCGGGCCUCUUGCCAUCGGAUGUGCCCAGAUGGGAUUAGCCUGUUGGUGGGGUAACGGCUCACCAAGGCGACGAUCCCUAGCUGGUCUGAGAGGAUGACCCGCCACACUGGAACUGAGACACGGUCCAGACUCCUACGGGAGGCAGCAGUGGGGAAUAUUGCACAAUGGGCGCAAGCCUGAUGCAGCCAUGCCGCGUGUAUGAAGAAGGCCUUCGGGUUGUAAAGUACUUUCAGCGGGGAGGAAGGGAGUAAAGUUAAUACCUUUGCUCAUUGACGUUACCCGCAGAAGAAGCACCGGCUAACUCCGUG